UACGUAGGGUGCGAGCGUUUAAUCGGAAUUACUGGGCGUAAAGCGUGCGCAGGCGGUUCGUUGUGUCGGCGGUGAAAGCCCCGGGCUUAACCUGGGAAUGGCCGUUGAAACUGGCGAACUGGAGUGUGGCAGAGGGGGGGUGGAAUUCCGCGUGUAGCAGUGAAAUGCGUAGAGAUGCGGAGGAACACCGAUGGCGAAGGCAGCCCCCUGGGCUAACACUGACGCUCAGGCACGAAAGCGUGGGGAGCAAACAGG
rnacentral:rRNA from 1 species